GAAUGUUUUUUUUUUUCAUUGGUUGUUCCGUUAAAUCUUACCCAGAUAGUGCUAUUUUCUAAUUGGCUUUUGUGUAGCCUCUUUUUUUUUUUGAUUGGCUGAUAAGUGUCAUUCUCGACUAAGAACUUGAACCGCGCUUGAUUCCUGCCCGUUGCCAUAGAGACAGCGGUGCGGACUGAUACAUUUUGGGUGCUGCGGCUUAUUAAAUAUAUGAUAAAUAGUCAAAACGUUUUUCUGCGUGAGAAAUACUAUGUGUGGCGGGAGAGCGUAAAAAAAGCCCGAAAUGCGUGAAUGUCACUCUCAAUGCGUGAUGACAGCCCUGAGAACAUUCGAGAACAUUGCAGAAAAAAGUGAUCAGAAAAGCUUCAGAACAGAUUCACCCUUGCCGCUGUUUGUGCCUUGGGUGACUCUUGCAAAAAACAUACAGUCGCCCACGGCGACGUACAAAAAAGCAGUCUUUACAACGUCUCUUCAGAGCUGUUUUAGUUUUCAUGCCCAUCGAA